UACGUAGGGUGCGAGCGUUAAUCGGAAUUACUGGGCGUAAAGCGUGCGCAGGCGGCGCGUUAAGACAGGUGUGAAAUCCCCGGGCUUAACCUGGGAACUGCAUUUGUGACUGCAUAGCUAGAGUACGGUAGAGGGGGAUGGAAUUCCGCGUGUAGCAGUGAAAUGCGUAGAUAUGCGGAGGAACACCGAUGGCGAAGGCAAUCCCCCUGGACCUGUACUGACGCUCAUGCACGAAAGCGUGGGGGAGCAAACAGG
rnacentral:rRNA from 1 species